UUAAGCGACUAAGCGUACACGGUGGAUGCCCUGGCAGUCAGAGGCGAUGAAGGACGUGCUAAUCUGCGAUAAGCGUCGGUAAGGUGAUAUGAACCGUUAUAACCGGCGAUUUCCGAAUGGGGAAACCCAGUGUGAUUCGUCACACUAUCAUUAACUGAAUCCAUAGGUUAAUGAGGCGAACCGGGGGAACUGAAACAUCUAAGUACCCCGAGGAAAAGAAAUCAACCGAGAUUCCCCCAGUAGCGGCGAGCGAACGGGGAGCAGCCCAGAGCCUGAAUCAGUGUGUGUGUUAGUGGAAGCGUCUGGAAAGGCGCGCGAUACAGGGUGACAGCCCCGUACACAAAAAUGCACAUGCUGUGAGCUCGAUGAGUAGGGCGGGACACGUGGUAUCCUGUCUGAAUAUGGGGGGACCAUCCUCCAAGGCUAAAUACUCCUGACUGACCGAUAGUGAACCAGUACCGUGAGGGAAAGGCGAAAAGAACCCCGGCGAGGGGAGUGAAAAAGAACCUGAAACCGUGUACGUACAAGCAGUGGGAGCACGCUUAGGCGUGUGACUGCGUACCUUUUGUAUAAUGGGUCAGCGACUUAUAUUCUGUAGCAAGGUUAACCGAAUAGGGGAGCCGAAGGGAAACCGAGUCUUAACUGGGCGUUAAGUUGCAGGGUAUAGACCCGAAACCCGGUGAUCUAGCCAUGGGCAGGUUGAAGGUUGGGUAACACUAACUGGAGGACCGAACCGACUAAUGUUGAAAAAUUAGCGGAUGACUUGUGGCUGGGGGUGAAAGGCCAAUCAAACCGGGAGAUAGCUGGUUCUCCCCGAAAGCUAUUUAGGUAGCGCCUCGUGAAUUCAUCUCCGGGGGUAGAGCACUGUUUCGGCAAGGGGGUCAUCCCGACUUACCAACCCGAUGCAAACUGCGAAUACCGGAGAAUGUUAUCACGGGAGACACACGGCGGGUGCUAACGUCCGUCGUGAAGAGGGAAACAACCCAGACCGCCAGCUAAGGUCCCAAAGUCAUGGUUAAGUGGGAAACGAUGUGGGAAGGCCCAGACAGCCAGGAUGUUGGCUUAGAAGCAGCCAUCAUUUAAAGAAAGCGUAAUAGCUCACUGGUCGAGUCGGCCUGCGCGGAAGAUGUAACGGGGCUAAACCAUGCACCGAAGCUGCGGCAGCGACGCUUAUGCGUUGUUGGGUAGGGGAGCGUUCUGUAAGCCUGUGAAGGUGUGCUGUGAGGCAUGCUGGAGGUAUCAGAAGUGCGAAUGCUGACAUAAGUAACGAUAAAGCGGGUGAAAAGCCCGCUCGCCGGAAGACCAAGGGUUCCUGUCCAACGUUAAUCGGGGCAGGGUGAGUCGACCCCUAAGGCGAGGCCGAAAGGCGUAGUCGAUGGGAAACAGGUUAAUAUUCCUGUACUUGGUGUUACUGCGAAGGGGGGACGGAGAAGGCUAUGUUGGCCGGGCGACGGUUGUCCCGGUUUAAGCGUGUAGGCUGGUUUUCCAGGCAAAUCCGGAAAAUCAAGGCUGAGGCGUGAUGACGAGGCACUACGGUGCUGAAGCAACAAAUGCCCUGCUUCCAGGAAAAGCCUCUAAGCAUCAGGUAACAUCAAAUCGUACCCCAAACCGACACAGGUGGUCAGGUAGAGAAUACCAAGGCGCUUGAGAGAACUCGGGUGAAGGAACUAGGCAAAAUGGUGCCGUAACUUCGGGAGAAGGCACGCUGAUAUGUAGGUGAAGCGACUUGCUCGUGGAGCUGAAAUCAGUCGAAGAUACCAGCUGGCUGCAACUGUUUAUUAAAAACACAGCACUGUGCAAACACGAAAGUGGACGUAUACGGUGUGACGCCUGCCCGGUGCCGGAAGGUUAAUUGAUGGGGUUAGCGGUAACGCGAAGCUCUUGAUCGAAGCCCCCGGUAAACGGCGGCCGUAACUAUAACGGUCCUAAGGUAGCGAAAUUCCUUGUCGGGUAAGUUCCGACCUGCACGAAUGGCGUAAUGAUGGCCAGGCUGUCUCCACCCGAGACUCAGUGAAAUUGAACUCGCUGUGAAGAUGCAGUGUACCCGCGGCAAGACGGAAAGACCCCGUGAACCUUUACUAUAGCUUGACACUGAACAUUGAGCCUUGAUGUGUAGGAUAGGUGGGAGGCUUGGAAGUGUGGACGCCAGUCUGCAUGGAGCCGACCUUGAAAUACCACCCUUUAAUGUUUGAUGUUCUAACGUUGACCCGUAAUCCGGGUUGCGGACAGUGUCUGGUGGGUAGUUUGACUGGGGCGGUCUCCUCCUAAAGAGUAACGGAGGAGCACGAAGGUUGGCUAAUCCUGGUCGGACAUCAGGAGGUUAGUGCAAUGGCAUAAGCCAGCUUGACUGCGAGCGUGACGGCGCGAGCAGGUGCGAAAGCAGGUCAUAGUGAUCCGGUGGUUCUGAAUGGAAGGGCCAUCGCUCAACGGAUAAAAGGUACUCCGGGGAUAACAGGCUGAUACCGCCCAAGAGUUCAUAUCGACGGCGGUGUUUGGCACCUCGAUGUCGGCUCAUCACAUCCUGGGGCUGAAGUAGGUCCCAAGGGUAUGGCUGUUCGCCAUUUAAAGUGGUACGCGAGCUGGGUUUAGAACGUCGUGAGACAGUUCGGUCCCUAUCUGCCGUGGGCGCUGGAGAACUGAGGGGGGCUGCUCCUAGUACGAGAGGACCGGAGUGGACGCAUCACUGGUGUUCGGGUUGUCAUGCCAAUGGCACUGCCCGGUAGCUAAAUGCGGAAGAGAUAAGUGCUGAAAGCAUCUAAGCACGAAACUUGCCCCGAGAUGAGUUCUCCCUGACUCCUUGAGAGUCCUGAAGGAACGUUGAAGACGACGACGUUGAUAGGCCGGGUGUGUAAGCGCAGCGAUGCGUUGAGCUAACCGGUACUAAUGAACCGUGAGGCUUAACCUU
rnacentral:rRNA from 1 species